rnacentral:rRNA from 1 species
UGCAGUCGACGAUGACCCGAUUAGUGGCGAACGGGUGAGUAACACGUGAGUAACCUGCCCUUAACUCUGGGAUAAGCCUUGGAAACGGGGUCUAAUACUGGAUAUUGACUUUACCUCGCAUGGGGUUUUGUUGAAAGAUUUAUUGGUUUUGGAUGGACUCGCGGCCUAUCAGCUUGUUGGUGAGGUAAUGGCUCACCAAGGCGACGACGGGUAGCCGGCCUGAGAGGGUGACCGGCCACACUGGGACUGAGACACGGCCCAGACUCCUACGGGAGGCAGCAGUGGGGAAUAUUGCACAAUGGGCGGAAGCCUGAUGCAGCGACGCCGCGUGGGGGAUGACGGCCUUCGGGUUGUAAACCUCUUUCAGCAGGGAAGAAGCGUGAGUGACGGUACCUGCAGAAGAAGCACCGGCUAACUACGUGCCAGCAGCCGCGGUAAUACGUAGGGUGCGAGCGUUGUCCGGAAUUAUUGGGCGUAAAGAGCUUGUAGGCGGUUUGUCGCGUCUGCUGUGAAAAUCCGGGGCUCAACUCCGGACUUGCAGUGGGUACGGGCAGGCUAGAGUGUGGUAGGGGAGACUGGAAUUCCUGGUGUAGCGGUGGAAUGCGCAGAUAUCAGGAGGAACACCGAUGGCGAAGGCAGGUCUCUGGGCCAUUACUGACGCUGAGAAGCGAAAGCAUGGGGAGCGAACAGGAUUAGAUACCCUGGUAGUCCAUGCCGUAAACGGUGGGAACUAGGUGUGGGUCUCAUUCCACGAGGUCCGUGCCGCAGCUAACGCAUUAAGUUCCCCGCCUGGGGAGUACGGCCGCAAGGCUAAAACUCAAAGGAAUUGACGGGGGCCCGCACAAGCGGCGGAGCAUGCGGAUUAAUUCGAUGCAACGCGAAGAACCUUACCAAGGCUUGACAUACACCGGAACAGUGCAGAGAUGUGCUGGCCUUCGGGCUGGUGUACAGGUGGUGCAUGGUUGUCGUCAGCUCGUGUCGUGAGAUGUUGGGUUAAGUCCCGCAACGAGCGCAACCCUCGUUCUAUGUUGCCAGCACGUGAUGGUGGGGACUCAUAGGAGACUGCCGGGGUCAACUCGGAGGAAGGUGGGGAUGACGUCAAGUCAUCAUGCCCCUUAAGUCCAGGGCUUCACGCAUGCUACAAUGGCAGGUACAAAGGGCUGCGAUACCGCAAGGUGGAGCGAAUCCCAAAAAGCCUGUCUCAGUUCGGAUUGGGGUCUGUAACUCGACCCUAUGAAGUCGGAGUCGCUAGUAAUCGCAGAUCAGCAA